rnacentral:rRNA from 1 species
UUGCCACCUACGUAUUACCGCGGCUGCUGGCACGUAGUUAGCCGUGGCUUUCUGGUUAGGUACCGUCAAGGUACCGCCCUAUUCGAACGGUACUUGUUCUUCCCUAACAACAGAGCUUUACGAUCCGAAAACCUUCAUCACUCACGCGGCGUUGCUCCGUCAGACUUUCGUCCAUUGCGGAAGAUUCCCUACUGCUGCCUCCCGUAGGAGUCUGGGCCGUGUCUCAGUCCCAGUGUGGCCGAUCACCCUCUCAGGUCGGCUACGCAUCGUUGCCUUGGUGAGCCGUUACCUCACCAACUAGCUAAUGCGCCGCGGGUCCAUCUGUAAGUGGUAGCCGAAGCCACCUUUUAUGUUUGAACCAUGCGGUUCAAACAACCAUCCGGUAUUAGCCCCGGUUUCCCGGAGUUAUCCCAGUCUUACAGGCAGGUUACCCACGUGUUACUCACCCGUCCGCCGCUAACAUCAGGGAGCAAGCUCCCAUCUGUCCGCUCGACUGCAUGUAUAGGCACGCCGCCA